rnacentral:misc_RNA from 1 species
UACGGAGUGUGCAAGCGUUAAUCGGAAUUACUGGGCGUAAAGCGCACGCAGGCGGUCUGUCGAGUCGGAUGUGAAAUCCCCGGGCUCAACCUGGGAAUUGCAUUCGAUACUGGGAAGCUAGAGUACGGUAGGGGGUGGUGGAAUUUCCUGUGUAGCGGUGAAAUGCGUAGAUAUAGGAAGGAACACCAGUGGCGAAGGCGACUCUUUGGCCUAUAACUGACGCUGAGGCGCGAAAGCGUGGGGAGCAAACAGG